GGGGUGCAAAGGGGACUGACUAGUGCCCAGGCUGUUUGCAGAUCUUGAUGUUGUGCGUGUGGUAUUGGUUUUGCAGGUACACGGAACAGAACAGUUAUGCUAUCAUGCGCCCUUAGACAGGUAACCUGGAGGAGAGCCUGUGAGGCCAGUGUGCAGCAGGGUUGGAUUCCCCUUUCAGGGAGGCCCUGCUCGGGUAGCACAUGAAGCUGUGAGAGUGAAACCUAAGUUUCAGUGGAGAUCUCAGGAGUGGGGAGAUGCCAGGAAUGUGGAAUAUCUGCAGAGGGAAGCUGUAGGCAAUAAAUCGAGGCUGCCAAAACAGAGCACAUGUGGUCUGCAAACGCCAAGCCAUGGGAGUGGGGCUGCUGGAGCUCACGUCACACUACCACGUGUCCUGGAUGCUGGACACAGAUGCACAGGAGCCAAUUCGGUAUUGAGCAAGAUACCUUGGACUGAGAAAAUCUCCUGAGAAGAGGGCAUGCAGAAAGGAGCAAGGCCGAACAACUUCGACUUUCCUUUCUUGGAUUCAUU
rnacentral:lncRNA from 1 species